GAUGAACGCUGGCGGCGUGCCUAAUACAUGCAAGUCGAGCGAACAGACGAGGAGCUUGCUCCUUUGACGUUAGCGGCGGACGGGUGAGUAACACGUGGAUAACCUACUUAUCAUUCUGGGAUAAUUUCGGGAAACCGGAGAUAAUACCGGAUAACAUGCUGAACCGCAUGGUUCAACAGUGAAAGACGGUCUUGCUGUCGCUUAUAGCUGGUUCCGGGCCGCAUUGGCUAGUUGGUAGGGUAACGGCUUACCAAGGCAACGAUGCGUAGCCGACCUGAGAGGCGGAUCGGCCACACUGGAACUGAGACACGGUCCAGAGUCCUACGGGAGGCAGCAGUAGGGAAUCUUCCGCAAUGGGCGAAAGCCUGACGGAGCGACGCCGCGUGAGUGAAGAAGGUCUUCGGAUCGUAAAGCUCUGUUAUUGGGGAAGAACAAAUGUGUAAUGAGCUAUGGACGUCUUGACGGUACCGAAUCAAAAAGCCACGGCUAACUACGUG
rnacentral:rRNA from 1 species